GUUCGGUUCAAAACCGAACUGAACCGAAAUAACCGAAAACCGAAAUGCCAAUAUUUUAUUAAACCGAACCGAACCGAAUUAUCUAUUAAACCGAACCGAAACCGAACCGAAAUAAUUCGGUUAAUUCGGUUUCGGUUAUGAAAAAACCGAAUUUAGAAACUUGUGCGUGGCCAGAACUGAACAGAAUGAAAAAAAAUAAUUAGAAACUAGAUCAAUUUAGAAGAAGAGGAAAACACACACUUAUCAAGCAUCCAGGAGGUUAUUAGCCUUGUGUUUUUCACACCUAUCUGUAAAAUUACAUCAGUGUGAUGAUUACGUAUUGCUUGGAUAUUGGCUCAUAAAGGAGUCCGGCGUUGGUGUGUUGCCGGAGUGGUGGUGAAGAGGGCGGCAAUGACGCUGCAUCUGGAGGUCGAGGGGGGCUAUGAGAGAGAUGAAGAAGGCUGGGCUCGGUGGUUUCCGGCGCCGCGACAUGGCUGUUGGCCGGAAUUGAUUCUAGCAGCGGCGCCGUGAUCUGAUGGAAAGGGCAGAGGCAUUGUGCAAUUAGAUUAGGGUUAUGUUCUGUAUCGGAUUAUUCUAUUAACUAUUUCUAUAUUAUUAUUA